CGCAUCUGUGCAUGCAGCAUAUCAAUAAGCGGAGGAAAAGAAACUAACAAGGAUUCCCCUAGUAACGGCGAGUGAAGCGGGAAGAGCUCAAAUUUGAAAUCUUAAAGGGUUUCCCUUUACGAAUUGUAGUUUAAAGAAGUGUUUUCUGUUGAGGUUUUGGUAAAAGUUCUUUGGAAUAGGACAUCAUAGAGGGUGAGAAUCCCGUAUUUGACCUUUACUUCAACUUUGUGAUACACUUUCAAAGAGUCGGAUUGUUUGGGAAUGCAGUCCAAAAUGGGUGGUAAAUUUCAUCUAAAGCUAAAUAUUGGCGAGAGACCGAUAGCGAACAAGUACCGUGAGGGAAAGAUGAAAAGAACUUUGAAAAGAGAGUUAAACAGUACGUGAAAUUGUCAAAAGGGAAGCGUUUGACACCAGUGUUGUUUUUCUGAAAAUCAAUUAAAGAACUGUUUAUGCUAAGUCUGUUUAGACUUUAUCAGCUAUCUGUUUAGUUUUGAGCUUUUCUUUAAUGCACUUUUCAGUUAACAAGUCAACAUCAAUUUCUUUUGCUGUAAAAAAGCUUGAGGAAGGUGGCAUGAGAUUCGUCUUAAGUGUUUAUAGCCUCUUGCCUAUGCAGUCGGAGAGAUUGAGGUCUGCAGCGUAGAUCCUUCGGGGCUAAAUGCAUUUGUGCUAAGUUAUAGCAUUUUAUAGACAACUUGUUGACUAUGAUUUGUCUUGUAGCUUACUCGCUUAUGUUAUUUUACCUACGCUUAGGAUGUUGAAUCUGUGCGAGACUAC
rnacentral:rRNA from 1 species